rnacentral:tRNA from 1 species
GGGGCGUGACUAGGCGGUGUCCAGUUCUCGACAAUUCUGGAUCGGGGUUCGAUUCCCCCACGCUCCACCA